GGGCCCGCACAAGCGGUGGAGCAUGUGGUUCAAUUCGACGCAACGCGAAGAACCUUACCUGGGUUAAAUCCACUCGAAUACUGCAGAGAUGUGGUAGUGCCCUUCGGGGAGCGAGUGAGAAGGUGCUGCAUGGCUGUCGUCAGCUCGUGUCGUGAGAUGUUGGGUUAAGUCCCGCAACGAGCGCAACCCUUGUCAUUAGUUGGCAUCAGUUUCGGCUGGCCACUCUAACGAGACUGCCGGCGUUAAGCCGGAGGAAGGUGGGGAUGACGUCAAGUCCUCAUGGCCCUUAUGCCCAGGGCUACACACGUGCUACAAUGGCCGGUACAAAGGGCUGCUAACCCGCGAGGGGGAGCCAAUCCCAAAAAACCGGUCUCAGUUCGGAUUGGAGUCUGCAACUCGACUCCAUGAAGUCGGAAUCGCUAGUAAUCCCUGAUCAGCAGGCAGGGGUGAAUACGUUCCCGGGCCUU
rnacentral:rRNA from 1 species